CAUGCGGCAUCCCCCUCCAUCCAGGCUCCACCCAACGCUGCCGCCUGCCGCCUGCCGCCUGCCGCCGAGACCCUCGCGCUCGUCGAUCGCCGUGGAAAUGCAUCUCGACAGCGACCACCCCGCCGGCGUUCGUCCCACGAUACGGGCCCCAGGGCCUGCGCCGCCGCACCGGCCCGGUCACGCUCAACUUCUCGAGCCCCCGCAGCGGCCACGCGGGGACCGGAGGCGAUCUUCCGGGAGGACGUCGGUCACGCCGCCGCCGAGACGUACCUCGUAACGGGACUCGCCUUCACCCGGCUCGGAUACCUCGGGUGAUCUGCGUUUACCAAUAUUACUCGCGAUAGCCUUCCAUGUCUCGCUUCAGUUCCUUGAUCGGUGGUGGUUGUGUUUCUCUAACACCGUGACCGUGAAACCUCUCCGAUAGAUUAUUAUGCGACCCAUGUGGUGGGUGGUGAAGGUUAAUACUCCCUCCGUCCCAAAGUAAAAUUCGUUUUCAUAUAUCAUAUAAUAAAUAAUAUAUUUGUUUUAUAUACAUGUCUAGAUUUAUCAUCAUCAAUUUGAACAUAGACAGAAAAAUCGAAAGCUAAAAUGACUACGGAGGGAGCAGUAAUUUAUAACAACCUGCAUUCUUAUUCCUUAUGGUGAUAACGACCUGUAAUAUCAGGAGAAUGCUAGUUUGUAUUUGUAGCUUGAGAUUCAUAUCGUGCAACAUAGAGUUUGUUGUCCAUUCAUCGCAAUGCACAAAUGCAACAGACCUUCAUGAUUAAAUUUCUGACAUGCCUUUGUGCCAGGGCUGGUUAUCGGUGGAUAUGAGGAUAUCACAUCUUAUUGCACUCCGUGUAUAUGCUGUUUUACUCAUGCCCGGUUUCAUAGAAGGUCAGGUUAUUAGAAGUGUAGUACUGUAGUCUAUGGAGAACAACCAAGAAAUGGGUCAGCUAAGUUUAAAGAAAGUCACGUGCUAUAUAGCGUCCUCGAGCACUUAUAACAGUAGAUCCAGAGAAAUUAUGUGUGUUGGAAUUGUACAUGCCCAGAGAUAACAGCAAAUCAAGUCCGUUGUGGCAUUUGUAACUGGAGGAGCUUGGAUCAUCGGGUAAGUGACAGUUUCCUCAUAAAUCACACUACAUUACAGGGUUUGUUCAUGGCGACUUUCCUUUAUUACUAACGUGGCUUAUAUUUAUUAUAUAUAUUUAGUUACUAGUCAUCUGACGGUACAUUGCUACAGUUUAUAUAUAUAUAUAUAUAUUUAUUAAAUAUAAUUAUAUAUUUAUAUAUAAUUAUAUAAAUAUAGGUAGAACUUGAUUAAAUGACAUAUUUAUUAAAAUAUAAUUAUAUUUUUAUUUUCAAAUUAUUAGUGUUUGUACACACACAAUAUCUAUCUUUUACAAAACAUAAACGAACAAGAGCUCCACUGGUUAGAUGAGGGGAGCCUGUAUUCAGGCGGCUAAGGUUCGAUCCCUCGCUCGCUUCAUUUUUUGGGCAUGCACAGGAAUAGAGUUAAUCCGUGAAUUUGCUGGCGUGGGAGGGGGCAUCGCUGGGCAGACGACACUCACGACGAAAGUCGUGCUUUAAAGGUAUAGGGACAAGGCAUGGAGUGGUCUCCUUGGAAGGCGGUUUGCAGACAGGAUUUAUAGUAGCUUGGAUUGAUUACAGGUGCUGAUGCCUUAAAGAAUUUUGUGUUGUAUACACCACCGCAUACAUUUAAUUCACCAUUAUUUUUUUGACCUGUAGUUUUAUUAUUAAUUUUGAGUAAUGACUGGUUGGUUUCUCUUUGCUUGACUGCCAAAAUUUAAAUAUGACUGGCAGAAAUUUCCCUCGAGGAACAAUAAGUGACGUGGUCAGUGAUGGUUCUGAGGCAAUAUCAUUCAUUUGUAACAAUGUUGUUAGCUUUGUAGGAGAUCCUACUAAAAUUUACUUGAUGGGUCAAUCAGCAGGAGCACAUAUUGUGGCCUGCGUGCUCUUAGAGCAAGCACUUAAAGAAUCUAAGGGAGAGAGCACCUAUUGUAAUGUGGUUCAAAUAAAAGUAUGUUUUUGUUUAUCUGGAGGGUAAGAACUUGAAAGCAUGGGGAUCUGUUUUAUUAUGUCUGUAAUUUUAUAUUCUUAAUCAUAUAUUUUAUUAUUAAAUAGCACUAGAACAUAAAAUGAUUUUAUCUGAUAAGGCAUUAAAAAUGCUUGCACCAUGCUUGUAUAAUGAAAUCUGAUUUAUGAAACUAGGCCUAGCCCUUCACAUCUAGAAAAGGCUAGAUUUCUUGGAUUUUCAGGAGUCUAAAUUUUGCAUUUUACAACAAUAGCAACAAAAUCCUUUUAGUACCAAGCAAGUUGGAGUAAGAUAGAGUUGAAAUCAAAUAAAAACCAGAAGUUAAGUUUCAGGCAUAUGGAUAGUUGUUCUCCACGCACUCCUAUUCAAAGACAAACCUUUGGUUAUAUUUCAUCCUUUCAAAUCUCUUUUUAUUGUCUGUUCCUAUUUCAAAUUCGGCCUUUCCCUGCCUCUCUCUCCAUUGCUAUCACGCCUUAGAAUUACAAUACACAUUGGUGUCUCUGAAGGUCUCCAUUGGAUCUGUCCAAACAUCUCCACCACUGUUGGACAAGUUUUACUCCAAGUGGUGUUAUCUCUAGCCUAUCAUAUAUAUCAUCAUUCUGAACUUGAUCCCUUCUUUUAUUGACAUAAAUCAAAUGCAACAUACGCAUUUCCAUAACACUUGCCAACGUGUCGCUUUUUUAUAGGCCAACAUUAUGUAUCACAUAACAUAGCAGGUCUAAUAGUCGUUCUAUAAAACUUGACUUUUAGUUUCUGUAGUAUCCUCUUGUCACAUAGAAUGUCAGAUGCUUGACCACUUCAUCCACCUUCCUUUGAUUCUAUAGCUAACAUCUUCAUCAGCAUUCCCGUCUAUUUUCUAAACUUAUUUGAUUGCCAAAUCUUAGCCACUUAUGUUGCUAUUUUUUUCUCGGUUUGGCUGUCCUGCCUGGUUGUGCCUUCUCUAGUAUUGAUUGAGGUAUGAGUGGGAUAGAAUGGUCAUAACUUCUCUGUGGAGGUAAGAUUUUAGGAUCCUUAAACAAGUCCUUGUAUUUGGUUAUUAAGUUGGUGAUUCCAGGUGAUUGAAGAACCGGGUGGUCUGGGGUUGGUGGUUUGGUGUCAGAAACAUAGUCCAUCAACACAAAAGGCCAGACAUAAUUACCUUUUUGUUUUCCUGCUUCUUGGAACUCCGAAGUUUUGUGCGUGCAGUCACGCUGCAUUGGACUGUGUUGUUGCAACCAAUCAUAGCUUGAGAUGGCAUCAUAAGGGUGCAUAUCGAGCUCAACCGUAUCUAAAGAUUGUGUAUGUCCUUGACAGUACCAUUUUAAGUUAGAGACCUUUUUGUCA